AAACGGAAAAGAAGAGGAAGAAGAACCAUGGUGGUCGUAUGGAGUUGAGGGCAUGCAAAUGUGGUUUACGUCUUCCCUUGCCUCUCCCUUGCCUCUUCCUUCCUCUUCUUUUUCCUCGUCUUUAACUGCGAGUACUUCUGCUGCUGCUCCUCCUACUCCUCCUACU
rnacentral:ribozyme from 1 species